rnacentral:lncRNA from 1 species
AUUUGUAUCUCAGCUCCAUGAUGCCUUGGGCUUUCUGUCUCCUCAACAAGAGUGCAGCUUGCUGAAUGUCAGCUGCCUGAGAGAGCUGGGGCCUGACUUACUAGGGCAUUAAAUCCUAAGAGGUCCUACUGAGGUGUGGCAGGAUCACAGGCCAGUGGAAAAAGGGCAGGUCAGAUGGGCAAGGCCCAGGACUUUCAGAUUAACUGAGAGGAUAUCGAGGCCAAGCAUGGCAGGGGGAAGGUCAGUGGGUGUCAAGAGACCCAGGUCUGACCCCGGAUGUUUGCUCCAUGUGACAAAAGCAGGCCUGUCUCAGGACCUUUUCUUUUCUUUUUUCCUUCUUUUUUUUUUUGACACGGAGUUUCGCUCUUGUUGUCCAGGCUAGAGUGCAAUGGCAUGAUCCCAGCUCACCGCAACGUCUACCUCCCAGGUUCAAAUCAUUCUCUUGCCUCAGACUCCCGAGUAGCUGGGAUUACAGGCACAUGCCACCAUGCCUGGCUAAUUUUGUAUAUUUAGUAGAAACAGGGUUUCACCAUGCUGGCCAUGCUGGUCUCGAACUCCUGACCUCAGGUGUUCCACCUACCUCAGCCUCCCAAAGUGCUGGGGUUACAGGUGUGAGCCAUCGCGCCUGGCCAGGACCUUUGUUUCUUAUCUACAUAUUGGAAGAUUUGGUCCUGAUGUCCUUUGAGGCUUCUUUAGCUCUAGUUCUCUGACACUUCAGCCUAUAUCACAGCUAACUUCUUCAGUCUCAUCUAUUCCUUAUGCUCCAGCCCCUGGCAAUUUGCCUCAAGAUGGGGGUUUGAAAAUAACUUUACCUGACUCAAGGAGUGUCUGGAGCACCUCCUAGUCUAAGUCUGCAAGCUCCAGUUCUUGCCUAAAACCAUGCCAGUGGCCACCCUUGGGCUCAGACAGCUCUGGGCCUUUUGACCACAAGCCAGCCCCUCGCCCUCUCUGUGGCAUAGUCUUCUCUGCCCCAGGACUGCAGGGCGGCUUCCUCCAAGGCUUCCAAGGCUCAAAAGAAAUUUGGCUCCAUCCAAGAAGGCUCCAGCUCCCCUACUGGCCCCUGGCUCAGGCCCACACCCCUGGCCAGGCCCAGAGAGUGUGUCUCAGGAGAAUUCAAUGGCUCUAGAGAGACACACAGAAAGUUUGGCAUUUGGAAAUUUCAAGGAUGUAUGUAUGCUCACGUAUGGAGCAGGUUGUCCUGGUCCCUGGGUGCAGGGAAGUGGGCUGCAGGGAAGUGGAUUGGAGGGGAGCUUGAGGAAUAUAAGGAGCGGGGGUGGAGACUCAGGCUAUGGACAAGGACAGCCCCAAGGUUGGGAAGACCUGGCCUUAGUCGUCCUCAGCCUAGGGGCAGGGCAGUGAAGAAAGCUCUCCCCGCUCCUGCUGUAAUGACCCAGAGUAGCCUCCCCAGGCCGGCAUCUUAUGUGUGUCUUCCACCAUCCUCAUGGUGGCACUUUUCUAGGCCUGUCUCCCAGCAUUGUGCAAGGCUCGGAAGAGAACCAGGAAGUGAAACUGGGUGAAAACAGAAAGCUCAAUGGAUGGGCUAGGUUCCCAGAUCAUUAGGGCAGAGUUUGCACGUCCUCUGGUCACUGGAAUCCACCCAGCCCACGAAUCAUCUCCCUCUUGAAGGAUUUUAUUUCUACUGGGUUUUGGAACAAACUCCUGCUGAGACCCCACAGCCAGAAACUGAAAGCAGCAGCUCCCCAAAGCCUGGAAAAUCCCUAAGAGAAGGCCUGGGGCAGGAAGUGGAGUGACAGGGGACAGGUAGAGAGAAGGGGGCCCAAUGGCCAGGGAGUGAAGGAGGUGGCGUUGCUGAGAGCAGUCUGCACAUGCUUCUGUCUGAGUGCAGGAAGGUGUUCCAGGGUCGAAAUUACACUUCUCGUACCUGGAGACGCUGUUUGUGGGAGCACUGGGCUCAUGCCUGGCACACAAUAGGUCUGCAAUAAACCAUGGUUAAAUCCUG